AUUGAACGCUGGCGGGAUGCCUUACACAUGCAAGUCGAACGAGUGGCGAACGGGUGAGUAAUGUAUCGGAACGUGCCCAGUAGCGGGGGAUAACUACGCGAAAGGGAGCUAAUACCGCAUACUAUCGGACCGGCCGAUGUCGGAUUAGCUAGUUGGUGGGGUAACGGCUGACCAAGGCGACGAUCCGUAACUGGUUUGAGAGGACGACCAGCCAGAAUGGGACUGUGAAACGGCCCAGACUCCUCCGGGAGGCAGCAGUGGGGAAUAUUGGACAAUGGGGGAAGGCCUGAUCCAGCCAUGCCGCGUGUGUGAAGAAGGCCUUCGGGUUGUAAGGCACUUUUGGUAGGAAAGCGGUACCUGCAGAAUAAGCACCGGCUAACUACGUGCCAGCAGCCGCGGUAAUUC
rnacentral:rRNA from 1 species